GAAUAGAAAUUGCAACAAUAAAAUUCUGAUUCUAAUAGAAUAGUUAUUAAACACUAAUUAGAUCAUAAUAAUGCUAAGUAAACUUCAAUCAAAUUCAAAAAAAUCUCAAGAAAUUUCAAACAAACAAUAAGAAUUCUUAAAGAAAUAUUAAAAGGAUCACAAAUAUUACUCAAAUAUAUCUCAAUUCAAUCUUAAUUUAAUUCUAGUUAAAAUCUUAUUGAACUUCAUUCAAACUUUAGGCCAAAGCUAAUUAAAUCUUAAAUUCUAAUAAAAUUAUAAAGCCUAAAUCAAAUCCUAAAUAAACCUUAAACCAAACUCCAACCAAAUCCUAAACCAAAUCCUAACCAAAUCCUAAACCAAACCCUAAAUCCUAAAUCAAAUCCUAACCAAAUCCUAAUCCAAAUUUUAAACCCUAAACCAAACUCUAAUUUAAACCCUAAAUAAAACCUUAACCAAAUCCUAAACCAAAUCCUAAAUCAAACUCUAAAAAGACCUUAAAUUAAACCCCAACCAAAUCCUAAACAAAUUCCUAAUCAAAUCCUAAAUCCUAAAUCAAAUCCUAAUUAAAUCCUAAACAAAUCCUAAACUAAAUCCUAACCAAAUUUUAAACCAAAUCUUAAAUCUUUAAUCAACCCUAACCAAAUCCUAAACCAAAUCCUAAAUCAAAUCCUAAAUCCUUAAUCAACCCUAACAAAAUCCUAAACCAAAUCCUA
rnacentral:lncRNA from 1 species